CGAAGGCAACGACAGCUUGAUAGAUUCAGUCGCAUUCUUGGUAUCGAUUCCGGAGAGGGAGCCUGAGAAACGGCUACCACAUCUAAGGAAGGUAGCAGGCGCGCAAAUUACCCAAUCCUAAUACAGGGAGGUAGUGACAAGAAAUAACAAUACAGAACCUUACGGUUUUGUAAUUGGAAUGAGUUAAGUAUAAACCCCUUAACAAGUAUCAAUUGGAGGGCAAGUCUGGUGCCAGCAGCCGCGGUAAUUCCAGCUCCAAUAGCGUAUAUUAAAGUUGUUGCAGUUAAAAAGCUCGUAGUUAAUCUUCUGUUAAUUUUUAUAUAUAAUAUCACGAUAUUUAUAUAAUAUUAACAUAAUUCAUAUUACUUUUUAGUAUAUGAAACUUUACUUUGAGAAAAUUAGAGUGCUUAAAGCAGGCUAUUGCCUUGAAUACUCCAGCAUGGAAUAAUAUUAAGGAUUUUUAUUCUUCUUAUUGGUUCUAGAAUAAAAAUGAUGAUUAAUAGGGACAGUUGGGGGCAUUUGUAUUUAACAGUCAGAGGUGAAUUUUCUUAGAA
rnacentral:rRNA from 1 species